GACGAACGCUGGCGGCGUGCUUAACACAUGCAAGUCGAACGAAGUGGCGCACGGGUGAGUAACGCGUAAUCAACCUGCCCUUCAGAGGGGGACAACAGUUGGAAACGACUGCUAAUACCGCAUACUGAAGGUGGGGAUUGCGUCUGGUUAGCUAGCUGGAGAGGUAACGGCCCACCAAGGCGAUGAUCAGUAGCCGGACUGAGAGGAGGACCGGCCACCAUGGGACUGAGACCCGGCCCAGAUUCCUACGGGAGGCAGCAGGUGGGAAUCUUCCGCAAUGGACGAAAGUCUGACGGAGCAACGCCGCGUUAGUGAUGACGGCCUUCGGGUUCGAAAGCUCUGUUAAUCGGGACGCGGUACCGGAAUAGAAAGCCACGGCUAACUACGUGCCAGCAGCCGCGGUAAUAC
rnacentral:rRNA from 1 species